CCUACGUGAGGCAGCAGUGAGGAAUGUUGGUCACUGGGCGCGAGCCUGAACCAGCCAAGUCGCGUGAGGGAAGACGGCCCUACGGGUUGUAAACCUCUUUUGCCGGGGAGCAACGGGCGCCACGUGUGGCGCCACUGAGAGUACCCGGAGAAAAAGCAUCGGCUAACUCCGUGCCAGCAGCCGCGGUAAUACGGAGGAUGCGAGCGUUAUCCGGAUGUAUUGGGUUUAAAGGGUGCGUAGGCGGUGCGUUAAGUCAGUGGUCAAAUUGAGGGGCUCAACCCCUUCCCGCCAGUGAAACUGGCGCUAUUGAGUGGAAGAGAAGUAUGCGGAAUGCGUGGUGUAGCGGUGAAAUGCAUAGAUAUCACGCAGAACCCCGAUUGCGAAGGCAGCAUGCCGGCUUCCUACUGACGCUGAAGCACGAAAGCGUGGGGAUCGAACAGGAUUAGAUACCCGUGUAGUC
rnacentral:rRNA from 1 species